AAGGAUCAUUACUGAGAGAGGGGCUUCGCGCUCCCGGGGGUUUCGGCCCCUAACUCUACCCCCUGUGUACCUACCUUUGUUGCUUUGGCGGGCCCUGAGGGCCUCUCGCGCCGGCGCACAGGCCGGCGAGCGCCCGCCAGAGGCCUAUUAAAAAAUCUAUAUAUCAGUGACGUCUGAGUGAAAAACACAAUAAUCAAAACUUUCAACAACGGAUCUCUUGGUUCCAGCAUCGAUGAAGAACGCAGCGAAAUGCGAUAACUAAUGUGAAUUGCAGAAUUCAGUGAAUCAUCGAGUCUUUGAACGCACAUUGCGCCCCUCGGUAUUCCGGGGGGCAUGCCUGUUCGAGCGUCAUUAUACCCCUCAAGCGUAGCUUGGUAUUGGGCCUCGCCUCCGUGGCGUGCCCGAAAAACAGUGGCGGUCCGAGGUGACUUUAAGCGUAGUAAAAUCAUCCCGCUUUGAAAGUUCGCCCCGUGGCCGGCCAGACAACCCCAUACAAUCCAGAUCAUUGACCUCGGAUCAGGUAGGGAUACCCGCUGAACUUAA
rnacentral:rRNA from 1 species